rnacentral:rRNA from 1 species
AACGUAGGUGGCGAGCGUUGUCCGGAUUUACUGGGCGUAAAGAGCGCGCAGGCGGUCGUUCAAGUCGCGUGUGAAAGCCCCCGGCUCAACUGGGGAGGGUCACGCGAUACUGAUCGACUCGAAGGCAGGAGAGGGAAGUGGAAUUCCCGGUGUAGUGGUGAAAUGCGUAGAUAUCGGGAGGAACACCAGUGGCGAAGGCGACUUCCUGGCCUGUUCUUGACGCUGAGGCGCGAAAGCUAGGGGAGCAAACGGG